rnacentral:rRNA from 1 species
GAUGAACGCUGGCGGCGUGCCUAAUACAUGCAAGUCGAGCGAACGGACGAGAAGCUUGCUUCUCUGAUGUUAGCGGCGGACGGGUGAGUAACACGUGGAUAACCUACCUAUAAGACUGGGAUAACCUCGGGAAACCGGAGCUAAUACCGGAUGAUAUUUUGAACCGCAUGGUUCAAAAGUGAAAGACGGUCUUGCUGUCACUUAUAGAUGGAUCCGCGCUGCAUUAGCUAGUUGGUAAGGUAACGGCUUACCAAGGCAACGAUGCAUAGCCGACCUGAGAGGGUGACCGGCCACACUGGAACUGAGACACGGUCCAGACUCCUACGGGAGGCAGCAGUAGGGAAUCUUCCGCAAUGGGCGAAAGCCUGACGGAGCAACGCCGCGUGAGUGAUGAAGGUCUUCGGAUCGUAAAACUCUGUUAUUAGGGAAGAACAUAUGUGUAAGUAACUGUGCACAUCUUGACGGUACCUAAUCAGAAAGCCACGGCUAACUACGUG